CGGGCAGGCGGACUAUCAAGUCUGACGUGAAAGCUCCCGGCUUAACUGGGAGAGGCCGUUAGAAACUGAUGGGCUAGAGGGCAGUAGAGGGGCGUGGAAUUCCGGGUGGAGUGGUGAAAUGCGUAGAGAUCCGGAGGAACACCAGAGGCGAAGGCGGCGCCCUGGGCUGCACCUGACGCUGAGCCGCGAAAGCCAGGGUAGCGAACG
rnacentral:rRNA from 1 species